rnacentral:tRNA from 1 species
GAGGGUAUAGCUCAGGGGUAGAGUGCAUGCCUAGCAUGCAUAAGGUCCUGGGUUCAAUCCCCAGUACCUCUA